GAUGGACGCUGGCGGCGUGCCUAAUACAUGCAAGUCGAGCGAACAGACGAGGAGCUUGCUCCUCUGACGUUAGCGGCGGACGGGUGAGUAACACGUGGAUAACCUACCUAUAAGACUGGGAUAACUUCGGGAAACCGGAGCUAAUACCGGAUAAUAUAUUGAACCGCAUGGUUCAAUAGUGAAAGACGGUUUUGCUGUCACUUAUAGAUGGAUCCGCGCCGCAUUAGCUAGUUGGUAAGGUAACGGCUUACCAAGGCGACGAUGCGUAGCCGACCUGAGAGGGUGACCGGCCACACUGGAACGGAGACACGGUCCAGACUCCGACGGGAGGCAGCAGUAGGGAAUCUUCCGCAAUGGGCGAAAGCCUGACGGAGCAACGCCGCGUGAGUGAUGAAGGUCUUCGGAUCGUAAAACUCUGUUAUUAGGGAAGAACAAAUGUGUAAGUAACUAUGCACGUCUUGACGGUACCUAAUCAGAAAGCCACGGCUAACUACGUG
rnacentral:rRNA from 1 species